GUGUCAGCCGCCGCGGUAAUACGGAGGGUGCAAGCGUUAUCCGGAUUCACUGGGUUUAAAGGGUGCGUAGGCGGGUAGGUAAGUCAGUGGUGAAAUCCUAGAGCUUAACUCUAGAACUGCCAUUGAUACUAUCUAUCUUGAAUAUUGUGGAGGUAAGCGGAAUAUGUCAUGUAGCGGUGAAAUGCUUAGAUAUGACAUAGAACACCUAUUGCGAAGGCAGCUUACUACGCAUAUAUUGACGCUGAGGCACGAAAGCGUGGGGAUCAAACAGGAUUAGAUACCCUGGUAGUCCACGCCCUAAACUAUGGAUACUCGACAUUUGUGAUACACAAUAAGUGUCUGAGCGAAAGCAUUAAGUAUCCCACCUGGGAAGUACGUCCGCAAGGAUGAA
rnacentral:rRNA from 1 species